UGAAACUGCGAAUGGCUCAUUAAAACAGUUAUUGUUUAUUUGAUAAUCAAAAGUUACAUGGAUAACCGUGACAAAUUACAGCUAAUACAUGCAUUCAGAUCUCUAUGAGGUUGUAAUUAUUAGUACUAAACCAAUUCCUUCGGGAAUGUGGUGAAUCAUAGUAAUCGAACGAAUCGCAGAAUUCUGCGAUAAAUCAUUCAAGUUUCUGCCCUAUUAGCUUUGGAUGGUAGUGUAUUGGACUACCAUGGCAAUCAUGGGUAACGGAGAAUUAGGGUUCGAUUCCGGAGAGGGAGCCUGAGAAAUGGCUACCACAUCUACGGAAGGCAGCAGGCGCGAAAAUUGCCCAAUCCUGAUUCAGGGUGGCAGUGACAAGAAAUAACAACUCUCAACUUUGUUGAGAAGUGUAAUGAGGAUAAUUUACAAACCUUACCGAAAGCAAUUGGAGGGCAAGUCUGGUGCCAGCAGCCGCGGUAAUUCCAGCUCCAAAAGCGUAUAUUAAAAUUGUUGCAGUUAAAGAGCUCGUAGUUGAAGUUCUGGCUGUAUUGGGCCCCAGCAGUCAAUGUAGGGGAACCAGCCAGUCAUCCGCUUGCAAAUACAUG
rnacentral:rRNA from 1 species